GGUGGAGCGAAGCUCAUGGGUGGGGCUACGAGCUGAACACUUUUAGUCAUUCUACCCCACAGUCUUUGGGAAGGUGUGAGACAAGGACCCUUCUUGAGGUUCAGGGAGGUGAGUUCCCAGAGGGGAGAAAAUAUAGGGCUUUCCUAAACAGGAUUCCUCUCAAAGAACCCAGUUCAACUCUACAAGCAUC
rnacentral:RNase_P_RNA from 1 species